rnacentral:tRNA from 1 species
GAGGGCAUAGCUCAGUGGUAGAGCGCAUGCUUAGCACGCACAAGGUCCUGUGUUCAAUCCCCAGUGCCUCCA